AAAUUUGAAAUAUAACAUUUAUAUAGGUAUAGAUAGCUCACUGGACCAGAUACAUAAAGGAAUUUAGUAUAUGGUGAAGGCAGCUGAAUUAGUGAAGGCUAUUAAAUCAGUGACAGAAGUUGAGUCAAACUAGCUUAAGCAAACAGAUUACUUAACUAUGAAAUUGAAGUCAGGUAGAACUGGAAACCAUGCAAAUGAUGUCAUCACAGCUCUGUUUCUUUUCAUUGUUAAGCUUUGCUUUUUCUUCCAUACUGAUUUCAUUUUCAAGGAGUUCUCUCUGAGAUAGAAAAAGAUGACCAAUACCUGGCCUUUUGCCUUUCUCCGUGGUAAAAUUACUUAGCCAAUAAAGCUGAUAUUUCCAGAGGAAUACAAACUUGAGUAAAGAUUAGACAUUUAAGGAGAUAAACAAUAUUGAAGAAAUUAAAUACGUUGACUAAACAAUAGAAUAAGAUAUAAAGAGGAGUUCCCAUUGUGGCUCAGCAUGUUGUGAACCAAACUAGUGUCUAUGAGGAUGUAAGUUCGAUCCCUGGCCUUGCUCAGUGGAUUAAGGAUCCAGCGUUGCCAUGAGCUAUGGUGUAAGUCACAGAUGCAGUUUUGAUUCUGAGUUGCUGUGGCUGUGGCACAGGCCAGCAGCUGCAGUUCCAAUUCAGCCCCUAACCUGGAAAUUUCCAUAUGCUAUUGAUGUGGCCCUAAAAAAUAAAAAAAGAAGAUGCAAAGAAAUGUCAAGAACAAAAAUUUUAAAUAAACAUAAUAAAGAGCCUCAAAGUGAUAAGGGAUAAUAUUGAAAACAUGAAGGAAGAAUAAAAAGUUAUAAAGGGAAAGUACUGGGUAUGAAAAGUAUAAUUAUUGAAAUAAAGAACUGAAAAAAAGGUAGUUUGAAGAGAGUAGCUAGCAGAUAUACAAAAAAAAAAAAAGGAAAUGAGAAAGGAACUGAAAUGGUUAACAAAUGAGAAAGGAAAGGAAAUGAUUAACUAAAAAAAAAUAGAACCCAAAAGAAUACAGUAAUGCAAGAAAUGAAGGGUGAAAAAGCUAUAAGGCAUAUAGAAAACAAAUAGCAAAAUGACAGGAGUCCCUCCUUAUCAAUAACAACUAAUGGUUUAAACUCUCCAGUCAAUAGACAUAUUCCCUCAUGGUUCAGUGGGUUAAGGAUCCGGUGUUGUCACUGCUAUGGCUCUGGUUACAGCUGUGGCAUAGGUUUGAUCCCUAGCCUGGGAACUUCUGCAUACCACGAGUGUAACAACAGGGAAAAAAGACAGAGUGACAAAAUGAAUUAAAGAAAAAAUGUGAUCCAACUAGACACUGUCUAUGAAAGACUCACUUUAGAUCCAAAGAGCCAAGUAGAUUGAAAGUGGAAGAAUGGAAAGAGAUAUUUCAUGCAAACAAUAACCAAAAGAGAACAGAAGUAACUACUUAAUAUCAAAGAAAAUAGACUUUUUUUUGGCCACAUCCAUGGCAUGUGGAAGUUCUAUAGCAGUGACCUGAGCUGCAGCAGUGAUAACACUGGAUCCUUAACCCAAUACACCACAUGGGAACUCCAAAUAGACUUAAAAAAAAUUUUUUUAAGUUUAGGUUACAACAGUCAUGGACAUUAUACAUUAAUAAAAUGUCAAAUAUGGCAAGAAGAAAACAAUUAUAAAAAUUAUGCACAUAAUGAUUAUCAAAAUAUAUGAAGCAAAAAUUAACAGAACUGAGGGAGAAAUAGUUCUACAAUAAUAGGUGCAGACUUUAAUACUCGAGUCAGGAUAAUGGAAAAAACAACCACAAAGAAGAUAAGGAAAUAGAAGACUUGAGCAACAUAAUAAAUUGACUAGAUCUAACAGGUGUUUAUAGAACACUUUACCCAACAAUAAAAUACACAUGUUUCUCAAGUGCAGAUAGCACACUUUCCAGGAGAGACUAUGUGUUAGGUAACUAGUUUCAGUGGACCUAAGUAUAAACAUCUUCUCUGACCACUGUGGAAAUCAAUCACAGGAGAAAACCUGGAAAAUACACAAAGCUACAAUAGUCAAAACAGUGUGGGAGUUCCUGGUGGCCUAGCAGUUAAAGAUUCAGUGUUGUCAUUGCUGUGGCUCAGGGUUUGACCCUUGGCCCAGCAACUUCUGCAUGCCAUGGUCAUGGCCAAAAAAAAUAAAGAGGUGAAUGUAUUUGAAAAAACAAAACAGUGUAGUACUAGCAUAAAGACAAACAUAUAGAACAUUGGGGAAUUCCUGUUGUGGCUCAGCAGGUUAUGAACAUGAUGUUGUCUCUGUGAGGAUAUGGGUUUGAUCCUUGGCCUCACUCAGUGAGUUAAGGAUCAGGCACUGCUGCAGGACAGUGCAGUUUGCAGAUGUGGCUCAGAUCCAGUGUUGCUAUGGCUGUGGCUUAGGUGCAGCUCUGAUUUGACCUCUAGCCUGGAAACUUCCAUACGCCCAGGUGUAGCCAUAAAAAAGAAAAAAAAAGCAAUGAAAUAGAAUAGAGAGCCCAGAAAUAGACUCUCACAUAUGUGGUCACAUGAUUUGCAACAAGAGUUUGAAGACCAUUUAAAAGGAAAAAUCUUUUCAUUGAAUGGUGCUGAGAAAACUGGAUAUCUACAUGUAAAAGAAUGAAGUUGGACUCUUACCUAACACCAUCAACAAAAAUUAAAACAAAAUGAAUGACCUAAGUGUAAGAUCUAAAACUAUAAAACUCUUAAAAGAAAACAUUGGGCACAGCUUCAAGACAUUGGAUUUGGCAAUAAUUUCUUAAUAUGACACCAAAUGUACAUAUUUAAAAAAAGAAGAAAUAGGAGUUCCCUUGUGGCACAGCAGGUUAAAACUCUGGCAUUGUCACUGCAGCAGCCCAGGUUUGAUCCCUGACCCAGGAAUUUCCACAUGCCAGGGGGCAAGGCCAAAAAGAAAAAAGGAAAAAGAAGAAAUAGACAAGUUGGACUUCAUGAAAAAUUUUAAGCUAUGUGAAUCAAAAGAUUGAAGUCAUUAUUAAAAUCUUUAUUGCCAUUUUAUCCUAUUGAUUCACUUUGCUGCAUCUAUAAGAAUGAAGAACAUUCUUAGCAAUCAGACUGUUAACCUCCCCCAAAAUUUCAACAUCCCUCUCAAGGGACAUACAGUUAGUUAUUCUGAAGGGCCUGAAAGGAAUCCUAUGGCCAUGGCAAUCGGAGAAGAAAAAUAAAUAAAAGGAAUCCAAAUUGGAAAGGAAGAAGCAAAACUAUCACUAUUUGCAGAUGACAUGAUAUUAUACCUAGAAAAUCCUAAAGACUCUACCAGAAAACUCUUAGAGCUCAUCAAUGAAUUUGGAAAAGCCAUAGGAUACAAAAUUAAUACACAAAUAUCAACUGCAUUUCUAUACACUAACAAUGAAAAAUCAGAAAGAGGAGUUCCCAUCGUGUGGCUCUAAAAAAAAUAAAUGAAGACAAACUGGAGAGACAGACAGGCAGACACAGAAGAGUCACAGUUAGUGGGAUCAGAAGCCUAGGAGAAAACUGCCACUGAAGCCAGCUCCAGUAGAAACACUUUAAGCUGUAAUGAAAAAUUUGCUGGAUUGCUGGUGUGGACAAGCUUGAGUUACAAACUCCAGGGGGCCCACUCCCUUCCUCCUUGGGGAGGGUUCACCCUUUUGUUAAGUUUUACCUCCAGGACCCCUGCUAAGUUCUCACAGUGGAAGACUGGAGACAAACCGCUUCCUGUGCUUUCAGCAGUAGGAGGAGAUAAGUAACCAUUCUGAACUACUUCCCUAUCUCUCUGUUCUCCUUAACAAGGCCUGGGCUCAAGGGAAACCAUUUUGCCAGGUCUAAUUGACUAGGGUUUUACUAAAGCCCAACUGACCUGGGGGAAGGGAAGUACCCACAUCAGGCUAACCCAAAGACCUAACCUGACUGUAGAAAGCUUCCUCUCCCCAGACCUUGCCACCACCUCCAGAGGGGCUCCUGUAUGAUAACAGGAUCACAGGUAAAAGGAACAAAAGCCUGACCUUAUCUAAUGGGCCUCUAGGGACACCCAAGACAACAAGAGAGACCAAACAAGAACACCAGAGGGAAUUUCAGCCUCUGAAACCACAGCUACAGAGAAGAGUAAACACGGAGAAGAGUAAAACUCCUAGACAGUUAAAACUCCCAACUAAAGGUCUACGGUCUUGGAGUUCCCUUCAUAGUGUAGCAGAAACAAAUCUGACUAGGAACCAUGAAGUUAUGGGUUCGAUCCCUGGCCUCGAUCACUGGGUUAAGGAUACGGUGUGGCUGUGAGCUGUGGUGUAGGUCACAGAUGUUCCAAUCCCAUGUUGCUGUGGCUGUGGCCUAGGCUGGCAGCUGUAGCUUCAAUUAGACCCCUAGCCUGGGAACCUCCAUAUGCCAUGGGUGUGGCCCUAAAAAAGCAAUAAUAAUAAUAAGGGCCUAUCCCAUGUCAGGGGUGCCCUCGCUCUGGGUAAGGUUCUCUUCUUUCCUGGGAGCUCCGGUCACCCUGGAUGCUUGGCUGACCUCUGCCUGGUUUCCCCCUUCCCACACCGCAGCCUGGCAACCCUCAAAGCAGUGCGCUGGGGCACUCAGACCUCUUCUCAUCUGUUCCUCACUUGUUGGCAUCCCUUGUCCCUUGUGCCUUGAAAAUCAUUACGUCAUAUAUUUUGCUCGGGUUUUAGUUAUUUGUUUUUGUUUUAGGCAGGAUUGCAAAUCUGGUUUUUAGCUUUGGCAUAAGCAGAAGUCUCUUUAAUUUUAAUAUCUAGAAUAGAUUCUUUGCAAGUGUGUUUGAGAUCACCCUGUUAAACAGAUGGCAUGAAACAUCAUCUGGCCACCAUAU
rnacentral:lncRNA from 1 species